rnacentral:rRNA from 1 species
AGAGUUUGAUCAUGGCUCAGGACGAACGCUGGCGGCGUGCUUAACACAUGCAAGUCGAACGAUGAUGCCCAGCUUGCUGGGUGGAUUAGUGGCGAACGGGUGAGUAACACGUGAGUAACCUGCCCUUGACUUCGGGAUAACUCCGGGAAACCGGGGCUAAUACCGGAUAUGAGCCGUCCCCGCAUGGGGGUGGUUGGAAAGUUUUUCGGUCAGGGAUGGGCUCGCGGCCUAUCAGCUUGUUGGUGGGGUGAUGGCCUACCAAGGCGACGACGGGUAGCCGGCCUGAGAGGGCGACCGGCCACACUGGGACUGAGACACGGCCCAGACUCCUACGGGAGGCAGCAGUGGGGAAUAUUGCACAAUGGGCGAAAGCCUGAUGCAGCGACGCCGCGUGAGGGAUGAAGGCCUUCGGGUUGUAAACCUCUUUCAGCAGGGAAGAAGCGCAAGUGACGGUACCUGCAGAAGAAGCGCCGGCUAACUACGUGCCUGCAGCCGCGGUAAUACGUAGGGCGCAAGCGUUGUCCGGAAUUAUUGGGCGUAAAGAGCUCGUAGGCGGUUUGUCGCGUCUGGUGUGAAAACUCGAGGCUCAACCUCGAGCUUGCAUCGGGUACGGGCAGACUAGAGUGCGGUAGGGGAGACUGGAAUUCCUGGUGUAGCGGUGGAAUGCGCAGAUAUCAGGAGGAACACCGAUGGCGGAGGCAGGUCUCUGGGCCGCAACUGACGCUG